UACAUCAUACAUCAUUCAUCAUCAUUCAUUCUUCUUUAUAAAUACCUGGCUUCCAUAUGGGCAUAUACACACACACACACCACCACUUGAAUCCAUGUGUGCAAUUGUUCUCCUUCACCUCCUUCUUCCAUUAUCAUUAAUUUCCUCCUCCUUCUUCUUCCUCUUCCUUCUUCCUUCAGGGUGAUUUUCAGGUUCAUUGCUAAAAAGGUGGUAUGGAUAUAUAAGAGGGCACAAGAAAAUAAAAGGUGAUUUUCAGGUUCAUGACCACUCUCGCCAAAAGACUCUUUGAUCUGCCCCCAGAACAGUUGAGAAGCUUCGCACCAGCCACCUCCAAUUAACAAACACAUUCUUCAUUCUAGCUAACAAUUUUUAGUGUAUCUUGUUCCGUUUGGGGAGAAUCAGUACAGGAUUGGAGAGAGAUCUCAACAUAUUUUUCAUGGUGCUUGCUACCAUACCACAAGA